rnacentral:lncRNA from 1 species
CCCAAGUAACACCUGAAAUGCCUCCGAAGAAGAAGCCGCCGGUGAAUUUGGCCCAUCCCUCGGCGGUUUGAAGCUGAUCGGGCUCCUUUUUCCGGCCAGUUAGGGUCAAAGCAGGAGCUGUGGAUGGGUCUCCUUCCUUGAAGGAUGAAAUUCCAUAGAUUGUCAAGCAAAGGCUCAAUAUGACCACAAGACCCGCAGCAGCCAAGGAGCCAGCUCCCCCAGCAUAGGGUGUGUUCCUCAAUGGACCAGCCUUGACGAAUGGGCCCACCAGCAAGAACCCAUGAGCCAGGCCCACCUCAAUACCCCUGAGAAGUGGGCUCACAGCAGUCCUGUAGGCUGGGAGGUUGGACAAGUACCAGGCAAUCAAUGGGCUAGAUGUCACUGGAGUCUCCAGGCUUCCAAUGAAGGGAUCACCAUUGAUGGGCUGAAUCACUUGGAAAGU